CACGAAGUUAGCCGGGGCUUCUUCUCCGACUACCGUCAUUAUCUUCAUCGGUGAAGGAGCUUUACAACCCUAAGGCCUUCAUCACUCACGCGGCAUGGCUGGAUCAGGCUUGCGCCCAUUGUCCAAUAUUCCCCACUGCUGCCUCCCGUAGGAGUUUGGGCCGUGUCUCAGUCCCAAUGUGGCUGAUCAUCCUCUCAGACCAGCUAUGGAUCGUCGCCUUGGUAGGCCUUUACCCCACCAACUAGCUAAUCCAACGCGGGCCAAUCCUUUACCGAUAAAUCUUUCCCCCCGAAGGGCACAUACGGUAUUAGCUCCAGUUUCCCGGAGUUGUUCCGUAGUAAAGGGUAUGUUCCCACGUGUUACUCACCCGUCUGCCGCUCCCCUUGCGGGCGCUCGACUUGCAUGUGUUAAGCCUGCCGCCAGCGUUCGUUCUGAGCCAGGAUCAAACUCU
rnacentral:rRNA from 1 species